rnacentral:lncRNA from 1 species
GAGAACAGAUGACGCAAGGCUCCAAAGUUCAGAGAACUGAACAAGGGGGAUGAGACUCAAAACAAGAGGACUCCUGACUCACUAGGUUAGGGUGAUCCUUACGUGAGAGUGACGUUAUAUGACCCAAUGAAUGGAGUUCUUACAAGUGUGCAAACAAAAACCAUUAAAAAGAGUUUGAAUCCAAAGUGGAAUGAAGAAAUAUUAUUCAGAGUUCAUCCUCAGCAGCACCGGCUUCUUUUUGAAGUGUUUGACGAAAACCGAUUGACAAGAGAUGAUUUCCUAGGUCAAGUGGAUGUUCCACUUUAUCCAUUACCGACAGAAAAUCCAAGAUUGGAGAGACCAUAUACAUUUAAGGAUUUUGUUCUUCAUCCAAGAAGUCACAAAUCAAGAGUUAAAGGUUAUCUGAGACUAAAAAUGACUUAUUUACCUAAAACCAGUGGCUCAGAAGAUGAUAAUGCAGAACAGGCUGAGGAAUUAGAGCCUGGCUGGGUUGUUUUGGACCAACCAGAUGCUGCUUGCCAUUUGCAGCAACAACAAGAACCUUCUCCUCUACCUCCAGGGUGGGAAGAGAGGCAGG